AAGCGUUAUCCGGAAUUAUUGGGCGUAAAGCGCGCGUAGGCGGUUUUUUAAGUCUGAUGUGAAAGCCCACGGCUCAACCGUGGAGGGUCAUUGGAAACUGGAAAACUUGAGUGCAGAAGAGGAAAGUGGAAUUCCAUGUGUAGCGGUGAAAUGCGCAGAGAUAUGGAGGAACACCAGUGGCGAAGGCGACUUUCUGGUCUGUAACUGACGCUGAUGUGCGAAAGCGUGGGGAUCAAACAGGAUUAGAUACCCUGGUAGUCCACGCCGUAAACGAUGAGUGCUAAGUGUUAGGGGGUUUCCGCCCCUUAGUGCUGCAGCUAACGCAUUAAGCACUCCGCCUGGGGAGUACGACCGCAAGGUUGAAACUCAAAGGAAUUGACGGGGACCCGCACAAGCGGUGGAGCACGUGGUUUAAUUCGAAGCAACGCGAAGAACCUUACCACAUCUUGA
rnacentral:rRNA from 1 species